CCGGGGCUUCUCCCGUU
rnacentral:tRNA from 10 species